rnacentral:snRNA from 2 species
GUGCUCGCUUUGGCAGCACAUAUACUAAAGUUGAAACAAUACAGAAAAGAUUAGCAUGGCUCCUGCUCAAGGAUGGCAUGCAAAUUCAUGAAGUGCUCCAUAUUUAA